rnacentral:rRNA from 1 species
CGGAGUGGACGCAUCACUGGUGUUCGGGUUGUCAUGCCAAUGGCACUGCCCGGUAGCUAAAUGCGGAAGAGAUAAGUGCUGAAAGCAUCUAAGCACGAAACUUGCCCCGAGAUGAGUUCUCCCUGACCCUUUAAGGGUCCUGAAGGAACGUUGAAGACGACGACGUUGAUAGGCCGGGUGUGUAAGCGCAGCGAUGCGUUGAGCUAACCGGUACUAAUGAACCGUGAGGCUU